GCUGGGCAUGGUGGUGCAUGCCUGUAACCCCAGCAGCUCAGGAGGCUGAGGCAGGAGGAUUGUGAGUUCAAAGCGAGCUUCAGCAAAAGCAAGGUCCUAACUAAGCUACUCAGUGAGACACUGUCUCUA
rnacentral:sRNA from 1 species